CCUACGGGUGGCAGCAGUGGGGAAUAUUGCACAAUGGGCGCAAGCCUGAUGCAGCCAUGCCGCGUGUGUGAAGAAGGCCUUCGGGUUGUAAAGCACUUUCAGCGGGGAGGAAGGCGUUAAGGUUAAUAACCUUGGCGAUUGACGUUACCCGCAGAAGAAGCACCGGCUAACUCCGUGCCAGCAGCCGCGGUAAUACGGAGGGUGCAAGCGUUAAUCGGAAUUACUGGGCGUAAAGCGCACGCAGGCGGUCUGUCAAGUCGGAUGUGAAAUCCCCGGGCUCAACCUGGGAGCUGCAUUCGAAACUGGCAGGCUAGAGUCUUGUAGAGGGGGGUAGAAUUCCAGGUGUAGCGGGGAAAUGCGUAGAGAUCUGGAGGAAUACCGGUGGCGAAGGCGGCCCCCUGGACAAAGACUGACGCUCAGGUGCGAAAGCGUGGGGAGCAAACAGGAUUAGAUACCCGAGUAGUC
rnacentral:rRNA from 1 species